rnacentral:lncRNA from 1 species
UUCCCCUUCUCUUCUUCCUCUCCUUCCCUUCUUCCUUCCUCUUCCUCUUUCCCUGCCAUAGUUGUAGCUGCCACAGCCGCAGCCGCAGCUGCUUCUUUCCCUUCUCCUCUUCCUUCUCCUUCCUUUCUUCUUCUUCUCUUCUUCAUCACCUUCUCUUCCUCUCCGUCUCUUCCAGCUGCAGCUGCCACCGUCACAGCCGUAGCUCCUCCUUUCCCUUCUCUUCUUCUCCUCUUCCUCUUCUCUCCUCCUC